rnacentral:rRNA from 1 species
ACACAUGCAAGUCGAACGAGCGAGAGAGAGCUUGCUUUCUCGAGCGAGUGGCGAACGGGUGAGUAACGCGUGAGGAACCUGCCUCAAAGAGGGGGACAACAGUUGGAAACGACUGCUAAUACCGCAUAAGCCCACAGGUCGGCAUCGACCAGGGGGAAAAGGAGCAAUCCGCUUUGAGAUGGCCUCGCGUCCGAUUAGCUAGUUGGUGAGGUAAUGGCCCACCAAGGCAACGAUCGGUAGCCGGACUGAGAGGUUGAACGGCCACAUUGGGACUGAGACACGGCCCAGACUCCUACGGGAGGCAGCAGUGGGGAAUAUUGCACAAUGGGGGAAACCCUGAUGCAGCGACGCCGCGUGGAGGAAGAAGGUCUUCGGAUUGUAAACUCCUGUUGUUGAGGAAGAUAAUGACGGUACUCAACAAGGAAGUGACGGCUAACUACGUGCCAGCAGCCGCGGUAAAACGUAGGUCACAAGCGUUGUCCGGAAUUACUGGGUGUAAAGGGAGCGCAGGCGGGAAGACAAGUUGGAAGUGAAAUCUAUGGGCUCAACCCAUAAACUGCUUUCAAAACUGUUUUUCUUGAGUAGUGCAGAGGUAGGCGGAAUUCCCGGUGUAGCGGUGGAAUGCGUAGAUAUCGGGAGGAACACCAGUGGCGAAGGCGGCCUACUGGGCACCAACUGACGCUGAGGCUCGAAAGUGUGGGUAGCAAACAGGAUUAGAUACCCUGGUAGUCCACACUGUAAACGAUGAUUACUAGGUGUUGGAGGAUUGACCCCUUCAGUGCCGCAGUUAACACAAUAAGUAAUCCACCUGGGGAGUACGACCGCA